AACCCAGUCGUUCCGAUGGCGGCCGGUAUCCCGCUCCGUCGCGCCAGAAAAUCUCCCCGGCGACGAGGAGCUACCAGGUGUCGACGUGUUCAUCCCCACAGCGGAUCCGGCGAAAGAGCCGACAGUGGAGGUGAUGAACACCGUGUUGUCGUCUCUGGCUCUGGAGUAUCCAGCGGAGAAGGUGGGCGUCUACCUGUCGGACGCCGGCGGACGCUGUAUGCAUUAAAAGAAACUUUUCUACAAUAUCAGAAAGAAUGAUAUCUAUGACAACCAAUCCCGGUCUGGUUUCAAGACCAAGUGGCGUGGAAUGGAUGGGGUAAGAGGGCCGGUGUUGUCCGGAACUGGAUAUCUCUUGAGGAGGAAGGCGUUGUUUGAUUCAGAGCCACAGAAAGCUCUUGGUCGAUCCCAAAAGUUCAUUGACUCGUUGAAUGCAAAAAAGGAGUAUCAGUGCGUAUCUGCUGCAAUGCAGAGGAUGGAGUUGUGUUUACCUGUACUCAAAGCGGGCAUGCUUCCUGGGUUGCAGCCCAGUCGACAUGAAAGACGCCAUGGUUCAGAUGCUAAAAAUGGAGCUCAGAGUUGUUCCAAGUUGCUUUAUCUAAGUAUAGUCCUCUCACAUACGGUGUCUCAAGGAUGUCAAUUCUCCAAAGCAUGGCCUACGCCUACUUCACAUUCUCCUCCCUGCCUUCAGUUGCUUUCGUCUUGUAUGGGGUGGUUCCUCAAUGGGGCUUCCUGAAAGGCAUCC